UGUCAAACUGAUUGCAGGAUCUACAUGUAGUGGACAUUUAGCAUUUUACAGGUUUUGAGUUUACUGUAUUUAUAUAUUUUUAUUUACUUAGCCAUGAAACAUAAUUUAAAUUAUUUUAAUUUUUCCCCCAAAAAACAGGAUUACCUUCAAAAGAUGGCAGAACUGGAGGUACUGAUAAGUUAUCAGACAAUGAACUUCGCAUAAACAAAGGAGUGUUUGUGGCGAUAUGUCUCAUAAUAUUACUGGUUGGGAUUGCUGUUGGUGGGGUGUUGUGCCUGCUGGUGUAUCGCAAGCAGAGACGAAACCAUAAAAGAAAAGUGAAGAUCACAAGAGUUCCCAGUGCUUUAUCCUCGACUAACUCUCGUCCCAAUUCAACAGUUUCAACGCUUUCCACAGUCAGUGAGAAUGCACCAAUUGUACCACCACAUAGCUAGUAAAGUAUUUCCACCUUACAUAGCAUUAGAUAGGACAUUUUUAACAAUUUUAUCCAUUUUAUAGAGCAUUAUAUGUAGACUUAUUGUGUGGACAACAAAAUACUCAAGAGCUAUUCAUGUAAAUAAUUAUGCAUCAUUUGCAAAUAACCAAGUACUGAAGAGCAAGUUAAAUAUUACAUUAUAUAACACCAUACAGUUUUAAACUGUGGGAUGAAAGCUCUAGCAGUUCAAAGAAUUUUUAUGACAUUGUGUAAAAAAGUACUGGACCGUAUUAUCAUUUUUAUCAACUUUACCACCUUUGUUUAUAGGUGUGUUGGUUGACUUCAAAGUGAUACUUCAUGUUUUACCAUAAUAGAAUUCAACUGGCUGUGAGUUUAUAGAUUUUGUAAAUAAACUUAGCAAUUUAUCAGGGCAGUUGAAAACAUUUUUGCUUAAAACAGAAUAUAAUUUAUUUAUCAUAGGAUGUAUCUCUUCCUAUUGUACACAAAGUCACAGUGGAAGAAUCUGUCGAGAAUGCACUUGCAAUGUAUUUGAGUGCCUGUGUGCCUCCUGCUUCUUCCAGUCUCUUGAAUUUUGUAAGGUGAUAUUGGUGAAAUAGAUCCAUUCAUCAAUAAUACAUGAAGAAACAUUUAUGAUCACAUAUACUGGAAUAUUUAUUAACUUUUCUAAGUAACCACAUUUUUAAAAUAAUGAUUUCAGACUGAAGUGUUUGACUAAUACAAGUAUGGGAGCUAAUGCAGUUCCAUGUCGUUUUUUGUUUUCUGUUUUUUUGCAAAAUCCAGCAAGCUUUCUUUAAUGGGUGUACAUGGUCUUUUCUCAAUAAUGUACAAUAUUAAGCACCUUUUGUUAUUUAAGCCUUAUGAUGUUAUUGUACAAUUUGAUAUUGUUGACCUUUGCCAAUUUUUUAAUUUAUCACAACUAUGUUGAAAGUCCUGUAUAUAUAUUUUUUAAUUUCUUAGAUAAAACCUAGAGCAGUGUACUCUGAACUUGCAGACGAAUAAAAAUAUACAAAGCAA